UUAACUAGCGGACGUCCGCGAUUUUGUCCGCGUGGAAUUCAGUUUUACCGCGGGAACUAUCUAAUAAAUAACUAUCUAAAUAUCUAAUCGGGAUAAGAAGUGGUCUAUGUGUAAUUCAAGGCUUAUAUUUAUUUCAAACGUGAGUUAAUUCGGUUCAGAAGUCGCGGCGUGAUAGUUACAACCAUUCGUACCAUCAAAAUCAUCAGUUUUUUUGCAAACCUCGGGACAUCAUGGAGUUUUUCGGGACAAAGAGUAGCAUAUGUGUUAAUCCAGUGUAAAAUCUAUUUCCAUGCCAAAUUUGAGCCAAAUCGGUGCAGUAGUUGUGGCGUUUAAGAGUAACAAACAUCCAUACAAAGUUUCGCUUUUAAUAUAUUAGUAGGAUAAAUAACACUAACGAAAUAUAUGUAGCUCAAGGCAGUCUCGGGGAAGUAAGUGAACUAUAAAUUGGCAACUUCGUUCUUAACACUCCCGAUGGUUCGCGCUGGCGGGGGGCGUGUAGCGAUGACUGAAAAACCCACGACUGAUGCAUCUCAUUUUCCCGCACGCACGAUUUCACACCCGCUCAGUCUUUCCCCCGUCGCCCGCAUACGAUGGGAGUGGCAUCAACGAACUUGCCAGACUAUAAAACAACGGUUGUCUGCGCAAGUACUGAUAUGAACAAAAGUGUUAGAUCUGUGCUCUGCUAGUGCUUGUACUUGUUUUAACAGUCUUAGUUAUGCGGAUGACAUGGUAGUUCUCAGCCCCUCUGAGGCCUAAGGAAACUGAUUUCAGUGUGUGAGCAUUAUGCUAAUGGCCAUGGACUGAAAUAUAAUGUGAAAAAGUCUGAAAUGAUGGUAUUCCGCGCAGGCAAAGGUCCGGAGAGGAUACCGGAAGUAACAUUGAAUGAAACAGCGGUUCGGGUUGUGUCGAAAUUUAAAUAUCUGGGGCAUAUUCUCGAUGAACACCUAAGGGACGACUGUGACAUUGAGAGGGAAAGGAGGGCACUUUCGAUUCGAUGUAACAUGCUUGCACGCAGAUUUGGCAAAUGUAGCAGACCCGUCAAGAAAACAUUGUUUAGCGCGUAUUGCCAGUGUUUUUAUACCUGUCAAUUGUGGACAAAGGAGAAUGCCAGAUCCUGACCCAGUCCUCACUCGGAAUUUUGCGGAAAAUGUAGAUGUACUAAAUAUAUUAAAUUUUUAAAUAAUUGUUUUUUAAUAAACCAUUUUUACUGUUAAACUCCGGAAUAAAAAUCUGCCAAAAAAAGUAAUUAUAUCCAUUACGUUAUUUCCUCAUAGCUGACUUGUUUACUUAUUUUUUAAAAACCUUUUUUCGACCUUGGGUUCGAGCCCUUUAGGGCGUUUUUAGUGCAUUCUAAUUAUUUUAUGUUCAAAAUGUCUAGAAUCCAGAGCUGCGAAGUCAGAUCAAAAUGUAAAAAUAAACUGUCAGAACACUGUCAAACUAUCAAAACUCGUAAUAGAGUAAUUUGAAAAUAAUAAAAUCACGUUUUUUUUACAUGUAUUGCAUGUGCUAAGUGCUUCUGUAUUUACAAAAAACCAAUCACGACGCUUUAUCGUUAUCUACUUCAUAAUAAACUGCACAUAUACUUAACCUUGAAAUCAAACUUCAACUUGGAUUUAUUUUCAUACCCCUAGUCAUAAAGGGUUAAAAGGUAAUAUUUGUUUAAUAGUACAAAAAAUCCAAUAAAAUGACAUAUAAUAUAUUGUUGCAAAUUAUUUUUUUUAGUGGGUCAAACUUCUAUACAUUGUCUGGCAUUGUCCUUUCCUCAGAAAGUCCUACACGGCAAUACGCGUACACUACAAUGAUGCAUUUCGAAUCUUGAUGGGUCUGCCUAGAUAUUGCAGUGCCUCUGGCAUGUUUGCCGAGUCGAGAGUGCCUGACUUUUAUGCUGUCAUGAGAACACGCGUGGCCUCCUUCUGGGAGAGACUCAGAACAGCGCGUAACAGCAUCCUCAGGACAGUUUGCGACGGGAUGCCCAGCCCUUUGUUUACAUAUUGGCUAUCUGUGCAUCAAUACAAUAAUAAGAAAUAGUUUAUACUCCGGACUAGAAUGACGCCUGGGAAGAGUCUUUUAACCUUCCCAGUUAGUAUGUAAGUUUUAAUACCUAUUUGUAAUAUUAAUUAUUAUUAUUUUAUUUCAAUAUGUAAUCUGUAUACUGGGUGCUUUUACCUUUAAUAAAAAUUAUUAUUAUAUUAGUAUUAAAGAUGGCAAAUAAAUGAACUUUUUGUUGAAUGUCAAUGAAUGCCAACGUUAUGCUAUGGUUAUAUCGCUAUUGUGGCUACCUCGUACGGCGCUAACUGUUCGAUCACUUUACUAUAAUUAAACACAACACUCUUUUUAACUAACUUUUAUUACUCACUUCACAAUAUAUAUAGAAACUAAUUUUAAGUAUCAACCACGUGGUGGGCUUAUUCGUUCAACUUAUAUGAUAUCGAAACGGAACAAUGGUAGCGUGAGUUAGACGACUACUAACGCCAUCUAUCGGCGGUCAUGACAACUUUUAUCGAUUUAAACACUAACACCCAACAUUGUGUUACUUUAGUUCAACUUACAUGCCGCUUAGUAUACCUACUUUACUUUAAUGCGCUUACUAUAGCUUCAUUGAUGACGCUCCCUUUAUGCGGGCAACGGAAGUGGAAGGACUGCGGGUGUGAAGUCGUGCGCGUGGGCCAUCGCUAUCCCUCUCCCGGCCCCCACGGACCAUCGGAACGUGUUACGAACGAAUUUGUCGCAUUUGCAAUCUAUUUCGAUGUUAUUACAGUAUUAAUUUUAAUAAUAAUAAUAAUAAUAAUUGCCGUGUGGCACCGGCAGAGCAGAAUGUUGCCACCCCUAUCUUCCCGAGGGUGUCGUAAGAGCGACUAAGGGACUUUGGAGAACCACUCGACAUCUUCUGGUUCUCCGAAGAGCUAGCUGGCUCAAAAAUACUAGCCUCCUUGGGGACCUGAGUGGACCCCAAGUGAUGUAAUUACCACUCACCCCACCUUAUAAAUGAUGAUGGACAACAAUAAUGAUGAGCGACUAGGGCCGCUACCUGGGCCCUCGAGAAAGAGAUAUGGUGGCAAAGGAAAAAAUAUGCCGGACUCACCAUGUGCCGUUCGUUGCAUUUAAAAACAACAAAUGAUUCCUUUGGUUCUUGGGUUUGCUACAAAAAAUCUUGUAAAAAUAAAAACAAAAUACCCAGAGCCAAAGGAACAUAUUUUGAAAAUAUCAAGAUAGACAUAAGGUAUGUUUUCUAUCUAAUAUAUGCAUACGCCCAUGGUUUUAACCAAGAUACCACAAUUCACGAGGACCCAUUAAAAGAAGAGGGAAAAUGUUUAUCCCGAGCCACCAUAUCGGACUGGUUUAAUUAUUGCAGGGAAGCGGUUGUACUAUAUUUUAUAAACCAACAAGAAAGUAUAGGAAAAAUUGGAGGACCUAAUAAAAUAGUUCAGAUUGACGAAUCCAAGUUUGGCAAGAGAAAAUAUAAUAAAGGUAAUUAUUAGACUUUUAUAAAAUUAAUAAAGACAAACAAGGUUACUCUUCUUGAUCUAUUGAUCUAUUCAUUAUACAAUUAAUUAUUGUCUUUUAUUGUUUCGGGUCGGGAUAUAGAAGGACAUUGGGUUAUUGGAAUGAUUGAAGAUGGAUCUGAAGACUUGAGAUUGGAGUUGUGCCCGGAUCAUAUUCAGAGUGCUGAUGUGUUGGUGCCCCAUAUCAAGAAACAUGUAGAAGUUGCACCACAAUACACACAACUUUUGGCUGCAUACGACUGCCGUAGUCAUCACGGGUACAUCCACAAGAAAGUUAAUCAUGCAAAUCCAGAUAACCCCUUUGUUGCUCCGGUUGGGACUCAUACUCAAAGAAUAGUCCCAAUGGAGAGGGGUAAAAAGAUUCUUCAAAAAAGAAAAUUAUAUAACCCUAAUAAUUUUGCCGACUUAGUCAUGGAAUAUAUGUGGAGGAGAAAUGUUGUAAAAUAUAAAUUACAAACCCAUUCAUUAAUUUGUUGGAAGCAAUUACGUUUGUAUAUAAUAUAAAUAAAUAAUUUUAAAGUUUUUAGUAUCAUUUAUGCGCGUGUGAAUUUGGACGGUAAAAUUAUUCUGAAUAUUGAAGUUCAUAGUAGUGUGGUAGCUGGUAGCGGCUUGCGGUGGCCUGCAGACAGGUGAAUACAUAGAACACACAAUUCUCGACCUACACCGACACAUUACACACUUGCUCGCCCGUCAGCUGAGGUCAACCAACCCAGGUCAGCUCGCGACACUUCGGACCGUGAGUGUCCGUUGCCUAUCUAACUAAUUGUAUAAAGGCUUUCGUUUCGCGGUGUAGCGCCGUAUUACGAAUGCCCGUCUGCCCACUCUGAUUAGUUGAUGGGCCCCUGAUCCACUCGCGUGGAAGCCGGAGGAUUGCCUCCACCAUCAUCGCUGCCCGUGACUACCAAGAGCUGAAAGAUGCGAUCCGUGCAGCACAAAAUGACGAAUCCUCGCAGCCAACGGGUCAAACAAUAAUGAAUAUUAUGAGGUAUGGCAGGAAACAGAAACCAGUAUGCACGAUACGUUCCACGAUACAGGUCUAAAGAUAGGUAUUACAAUUCAUAUGGCCAUAAUCAUAACCAUAAUUAUAAUCAAAAGGCCCCAAGUACUCAACAUGGACAAUAUUCUUAUUACCUCCUUAUCACUGCGAAUAAAUUCGCGGGAAAGAAUUGAAAAAAGAUUUUUAUAACAAUUUGCAAGUAUUUUUGCACAGGCACAGCUACGAACCUGAACAAACAAGACGAGAGAACGAAUACGCAAUAUAAUAACAGCCACCAUCAACAUCAUCUUCAUCAUAAUUUGCGCAUUCAGUCCAUACCAUUGUAAGUUGAAUCCAAUAGAAUUAAUAUAGACACAAAAUCACAUGUCGGGGAAAAUUUCAGCAUUAGUCCAGAUGAGUCUCCAUCGAUUGUUUUUUCAAUUUAUUAUUUAACUCCCAGUUUAUGUCCGUGUUAGUAUCGAGCAUAAAUACUCAUGGUUUACGCCUAAUGAUAAAAAGUUCAGGCGGUUCCAAUACUAGGACUUUAUAAUGGAAUAACACCAAACGAAGACGAAAAAAGUAUUUUCUUGGCAUUGAUUACUGGAGUAGACAUGUAUAAUAGGACCUGCCUUUUUAAAAAAUCAUGUCCCUGGACCGUUUUCUGUUAAUACUUCGCAAUUUAACUUUUUCCGAUAAUAAUUCAUAUAAUAACACUGGUGCCAACAGAUGUCAAAACAAUAAUGGUUUUUUAACUCGCUCAUGAAAACUUUAGUAAAUCCUCCUAAAAAUUUAACAAUUGACGAAAGUAUUGUGCUAUGGCGAGGACGAUUAAGUAGACAAUAUAUCAAAGGCCACUGGGCGGCGUUGAUCGUAAAGAUCAGAUGAUCCAUGCACUUUUUCCAUAGAAGGCCAUCGCCAGAUCAGGAGUCUGUGCCCGAACCGACUCCCUCAACAUCUGCAGCUGCUGCAUCAGAGGCAGAUCUGCUUCCGUCACCGGAGCAGCUCAGUCCCGAGCCGAGCCGGCAUCAACAGCACUAAUGGGCUCUUCACCACGGUACAUGGAGUCAUGGGAAACAACCAUGGAGUUGGGGUCACCCACCAAUGUUACAGGUACCCCACAAAUUACUUUAUAAGGACAAACUUUUGGCAUCUGCAGUUGAAUGUCACCAGGUUCCCCUACUGACAACCAGCGUCGACGCCUCCUGUGAUCAGAAGGCUGGCCAAUAUUUAGGUCAAAGAGUCACUUUCAGCCCAUAAAGUGUGCCCCACAGCCUUGUGGACACUUUACCAAUGAACAUCGAUUCGGAGGAAUUCUACAACGACAAGUCUUUUGAUUUAUUUUUAAUUUAAUAAAAGGAAUAAUAUUUCCAUUUGUUCAAUUUGUUAAAAUUAAAAAGAACCGGAGAUCUGUGGGGCAUGUCAGUGAAAGUAAUAUCUAAUAUAAUUGAUGUAAUUGCUCCCCACUUAGCCAUUAUUUUUAAUGAAUGUGUGGACUUAGGUAUUUUUCCGAACCUAAUGAAGCAUGGCAAAUUGAUACCACUUUUUAAAUCAGGAGACAAAUCAGAUCUUAAUAAUUAUAGACCGAUUACAAUAUUGCCAACACUUAGCAAGGUCUUUGAAAAAAUCAUAUUAAAUCAACUUUUAUGUCAUUUUAAUUUAAAUAACUUGUUUCAUCCUGAACAGUAUGGUUUUACAAAAGGUCGCAAUACAACUGAUGCAGGGGCUAAACUUUUAAAACAUAUUUAUGAAGCAUGGGAAGGUUCUAAGAAUGCUAUUGGUGUGUUCUGUGAUCUGUCCAAGGCGUUCGAUUGUGUUGACCAUAACACCCUUCUACUCAAGUUAAGCCACUAUGGCAUCAAAAGUGUUGCACUCGAUCUCAUUGCCUCUUAUCUCAGUGAUAGAACGCAGAAGGUAUGCAUAAAUGAUAUAAAGUCGCACGGUUCCACUACCAUAAUGGGCGUCCCACAGGGUUCAAUUCUGGGUCCUUUUCUAUUUUUAGUGUACAUAAACGAUUUACCAUACCAUGUCAGCGGCAUAUGUGAGAUUGUACUGUUUGCUGAUGACACAUCCUUAAUUUUUAAGUCCGACAGAAAUAAAGAUAACUCUGACGACGUAAACCGUGCCAUAUCGCAUGUGUCGCAUUGGUUCACUGCAAAUAAUCUACUUUUGAAUGCCAAGAAAACUAAAUGUAUUGAGUUUUCAUUGCCAAAUGUUAAAAAAUUAGAUAAGUCUAUAAUAAUGAUCGAUGGUGAAACACUGGAAAUGGAGAGUUCCACAGUUUUCCUGGGAGUUACCUUGGAUUGUAAACUUCAGUGGGGUGCUCAUAUAGAAAAACUGUCUGGUAAACUUAGCUCAGCGGCAUUUGCCGUGAGAAAAAUAAGACAGUUUACUGAUGUUGAUACAGCUAGGCUCGUUUAUUUUGCGUACUUUCACAGCGUAAUGUCUUACGGUAUUUUAUUGUGGGGCAAGGCUGCCGAUAUACAAUCUAUAUUUGUUCUUCAAAAAAGAGCAAUUCGAGCAAUAUAUCAAUUAAAAUCACGCGAGUCCCUUCGUCAAAAGUUUAAAGAAAUAGGUAUACUAACAGUAGCCUGUCAAUAUAUAUAUAACAGUAUAGUAUUUGUAAGACAAAAUAUUAAUUUGUACAAACGAAAAGGAGAUUUAAACCCACGUCUUACUAGACACGGGCAUAAGUUAGUUAUUUCUGCAUAUCGUCUCCAAAGAGUAAAAAAAUCUUUUGUAGGUUUGGGUGUACUCUUCUAUAAUAAGAUCCCCAAGACUGUGAUGGACCUGCCAAUGCAUAGCUUUAAGCAAUGUGUUAAAAAACAUCUACUUAGUCGAGGGUACUACAACAUUGAUGAGUUCCUUAAUGAUAAAGAUGCUUGGAGGUCGUUGGAUCAGCUUCCACCUUCACACAGAAAGUAAAACUAUAAAAAAUGUAAACAAUAAUUGUUAUUAAUUGUAAAUUAUAAUACUGUAUGACUUUUUCAAAAGAGCAACUGUUGAGUUUCUUGCCGGUAUCUUCUCAGCAGAACCUGCCUUCCGAACCGGUGGUAGAAUCUUUACAAAUAGUCAACUGACGUGUCAAACGUGCUUGUAAACUGAGCCUACUUGAAAUAAAUGAUUUUUGAUUUUGAUUUUUUGAUUUUGAUUUAUUUUUGUUAAAUAUAAAAUGUAGGUAGUAUUUAGGUAGUUAUUUAUAUAAUAGUUUUAAUAACAAAGAUCAAGACAAUAGCUCAACCUUUAGAAAAUUUAAAAAGAUAAUUAUAAUAAUUAUAAAGUUAUCAAUAUAAUAACAGCUAACAAACACAUCUUAGUUAUUGUUUUGCGCAUUCAUUCCAUACCAUUGUAAGUUGAAUCCAAUAGAAUUAAUAUAGACACAAUUAAAAUCUCAUGUCGGGAAAAAUAAAUGAUCUUUGAAAUAAACGGUCUUACAGAUUUGAUCCAAAGAACUAGACCAAACCAGAACGGUGUCAUGAUUUACAAACCAAGUAAAACACACACACAUACAUCGACUUCUGCGCUUACCUCCCUAUCACUGCGAAUUAAAUCCCAUAGAAAAAAUAUAAGGCAGUUCACGCGGCAGAAUUGAAAAAAUCCUACACCUGACGAAGGUGAAAGAAGGAUGAACUGCACCGCAGUCUCUGCAGACGUUCCCAUUCAGUAGAGUACUUUAAUGCGCUUACUAUAGCUUCAUUGAUGACGCUCCCUUUAUGCGGGCAACGGAAGUGGAAGGACUGCGGGUGUGAAGUCGUGCGCGUGGGCCAUCGCUAUCCCUCUCCCGGCCCCCACGGACCAUCGGAACGUGUUACGAACGAAUUUGUCAAGCUAUAUACCUACCUACUUUAGACGUACCUACCUUGUCGUAUAUACUCUGCUACCCGAAGAACUUAAUGUUGAAGAAAAUAUUAAUUUUUAUAGCAAACUCGACGAGGUUCAUUCGUAUGUCAGGAUCUUGAUUUAUUCUUCUUCCUAUAUCUACAGAGAGGUUUUUACAGUGUACCGCGCUAACCAUUUAACCUGCAAUCUAUUUCGAUGUUAUUACAGUAUUAAUUUUAAUAAUAAUAAUAAUAAUAAUAAUAAUUGCCGUGUGGCACCGGCAGAGCAGAAUGUUGCCACCCCUAUCUUCCCGAGGGUGUCGUAAGAGGCGACUAAGGGACUUUGGAGAACCACUGAACAUUUUCUGGUUCUCCGAAGAGCUAGCUGGCUCAAAAAUACUAGCCUCCUUGGGGACCUGAGUGGACCCCAAGUGAUGUAAUUACCACUCACCCCACCUUAUAAAUGAUGAUGGACAACAAUAAUGAUGAGCGACUAGGGCCGCUACCUGGGCCCUCGAGAAAGAGAUAUGGUGGCAAAGGAAAAAAUAUGCCGGACUCACCAUGUGCCGUUCGUUGCAUUUAAAAACAACAAAUGAUUCCUUUGGUUCUUGGGUUUGCUACAAAAAAUCUUGUAAAAAUAAAAACAAAAUACCCAGAGCCAAAGGAACAUAUUUUGAAAAUAUCAAGAUAGACAUAAGGCAUGUUUUCUAUCUAAUAUAUGCAUACGCCCAUGGUUUUAACCAAGAUACCACAAUUCACGAGGACCCAUUAAAAGAAGAGGGAAAAUGUUUAUCCCGAGCCACCAUAUCGGACUGGUUUAAUUAUUGCAAGGAAGCGGUUGCACUAUAUUUUAUAAACCAACAAGAAAGUAUAGGAAAAAUUGGAGGACCUAAUAAAAUAGUUCAGAUUGACAAAUCCAAGUUUGGCAAGAGAAAAUAUAAUAAAGGUCGGCAUAUAGAAGGACAUUGGGUUAUUGGAAUGAUUGAAGAUGGAUCUGAAGACUUCAGAUUGGAGGUGUGCCCGGAUCAUAUUCGGAGUGCUGAUGUGUUGGUGCCCCAUAUCAAGAAACAUGUAGAAGUUGCACCACAAUACACACAACUUUUGGCUGCAUACGACUGCCGUAGUCAUCACGGGUACAUCCACAAGAAAGUUAAUCAUGCAGAUCCAGAUAACCCCUUUAUUGCUCCGGUUGGGACUCAUACUCAAAGAAUAGUCCCAAUGGAAAGGGGUAAAAAGAUUCUUCAAAAAAGAAAAUUAUAAUAACCCUAAUAAUUUUGCCGACCUAGUCAUGGAAUAUAUGUGGAGGAGAAAUGUUGUAAAAUAUAAAGACCCAUUUAUUAAUUUGUUGGAAGCAAUUACGUUUGUAUUAAUAUAAAUAAAUAAUUUUAAAGUAUUUAGUAUCAUUUAUGCGCGUGUGAAUUUGGACGGUAAAAUUAUUCUGAAUAUUGAAGUUCAUAGUAGUGUGGUAGCUGGUAGCGGCUUGCGGUGGCCUGCAGACAGGUGAAUACAUAGAACACACAAUUCUCGACCUACACCGACACAUUACACACUUGUUCGCCCGUCAGCUGAGGUCAACCAACCCAGGU